GACGAACGCUGGCGGCGUGCUUAACACAUGCAAGUCGAACGUGAUUUUUGUGGAAAUUCUUUCGGGAAUGGAAAUGAAAUGAAAGUGGCGAACGGGUGAGUAACACGUGAGCAACCUACCUUACACAGGGGGAUAGCCGUUGGAAACGACGAUUAAUACCGCAUGAGACCACAGAAUCGCAUGAUAUAGGGGUCAAAGAUUUAUCGGUGUAAGAAGGGCUCGCGUCUGAUUAGCUAGUUGGAAGGGUAAAGGCCUACCAAGGCGACGAUCAGUAGCCGGUCUGAGAGGAUGAACGGCCACAUUGGAACUGAGACACGGUCCAAACUCCUACGGGAGGCAGCAGUGGGGAAUAUUGCACAAUGGGGGGAACCCUGAUGCAGCGACGCCGCGUGAGCGAAGAAGGUUUUCGAAUCGUAAAGCUCUGUCCUAUGAGAAGAUAAUGACGGUAUCAUAGGAGGAAG
rnacentral:rRNA from 1 species